UGAUGUGCAGAUAAUAAUAAUUAUUAUUAUUUUUUUUUCGACAAGAGAUCGAGUUCGCGCCUCGGCCGCAACGUACAUAAUGGGUCCCUUGGGCUGCGUUUGGUUGGAGGGAUAUCCCAGAACAAGGCGGGAUAUCCCUCCAAACACAAUGCAUUUUGGAACAACCGGGUUGUUCCCGGAACAACCCGUUAAGCCGGGAACAACCCGGUAAGCUUGUUCUCCCUAAAAGGGAGAACAAGCCGGAA
rnacentral:lncRNA from 1 species